GGGGGUGCAAGCGUUGUCCGGAAUCAUUGGGCGUAAAGAGUUCGUAGGUGGCACGUAAAGUCUGGUGUUAAAGGCGGAAGCUCAACUUCCGUAGGGCACUGGAUACUGGCGAGCUAGAAUGCGGUAGAGGUAAAGGGAAUUCCUGGUGUAGCGGUGAAAUGCGUAGAUAUCAGGAGGAACAUCGGUGGCGUAAGCGCUUUACUGGGCCGUAAUUGACACUGAGGAACGAAAGCCGGGGUAGCAAA
rnacentral:rRNA from 1 species